AGUUGCCUUAGGAAGCCAUGCUAUUCAAACCAUGGAGAAUAUCCUCUGUUUUCUAAACAGCUAUACUGAGACAGGGCUUAGCCCUGACUCACCUUGUUUGGAUGGAUAUUGACCACAACUGCAUCUACUUGAGUGGGUUGGGGUUGUUUAUGCUGUACUUUUUCUAUGUGGUAUUGAUGCUGUGUUUGUCAACCCUUGGGAAAAAUAAUGAUAUCCAAAAGCAUCAGGGCAGAGCCAGGAGGAGAAAGAAAGGUGGGACAUAUAAAGACCGGAAAAGUUUCCAGAGAGAAGCCGAAGAGGAAAGGAAGUUGCUUUCUAUUCUGAAAAGCUUUGGACCUCCUGCUUCCUGCAGUCCCCUGGGUCAGCAUCAUGAUACCACCCGCUUUCAUCGACUGUUAUGCCCAGACCCCGUCUGUCAGGUGUGUAACAGAGCAACUGCUGAUAUCCAGCGACUGCUGUCUUGGGAGUCCCUGAAAGAUGCUGUUCCCUUUGUGUCCCCUUUGGCUUCUUCAGCUUCUGCGACUGAGUCAUCAUUCACUCUGGCUUCCACCCCCUCAGCAACCACUCCAGAAGACCUAAUAUUGUCCCCGCAGCCUAAGCCUUCUCUACUGCCCCACUUAAUUCUCUCCCCUGACCUGAUCACCACCUUAGCUGACUUAUUUUCACCCUCACCACUGAGGGACCCUCUGCCACCACAGCCUGUUUCUCCCUUGGAUUCCAAGUUCCCCAUAGACCAUUCCCUACCCCAACAGCUUCCCUCUCCCCUUUUCCCACCGCAUCACAUUCAGAGAGCGGAGCCCAGUCUCCAACCUGAGGCCAGUUUGUCUCUGAACACUGUCUUUUUAUUUGACUCCACCCUAUCCCAAGAUAUGAACCCCUUAUCAAAUAUUUCCCAGGCCAUGAAUGCCACUGAUUCAUGUGCUUGGCAUCACGAACCACCAAACCCAUCUGCUUUACCACUGGAGGACUGCCCUGUAACUCAGUCUAAAGCAAGUCCCACAGUAUUGAAGCCUUUUCCGGAGAUGUUAUCUCUAGGUAGUUCUGGUGGAUCAUCCACAUGUGCCCCAACAAUCAGAGGCAUUGACAUUCAUGCCCUGCAUCUUCAGAAUUCUCCUGGUGGCAGCCUCAUGACAAGGACUUUUUUCCUUCCACUAUUGCACCAUAUGAUUUCAUGCAAGAGCUUCUUACCCUUCAUUCUUCUGAGAUCACUAUAGGAGGGCACUCUGUGGUCAACCUCACAGAGCCUAUUAACCUCUCAUUUAUCAGUCAUGACAUUCUGGCACUCCUGGAGAGACAAGUCAAAAAAAGGAGUGAUUUCCUGAUGUGGAAAGAAAAUGAAAAUAAAGCAGAAUCUUUUCCAAAACAACGUAGGCCAAACUAUCAACUAAAUUCUUCACAGAAAAUGUUAGCCUCAAUUGCAGAUAAGCAAGACUUGGCAACCUCCCUUCCUUUUUGGGGCCAGUAAAGACAGACUAGAACAACUGCACAUCCAUCAGCAGCCCCCAUAUUCUAAGUGUUUUGAGGACCAUUUGGAGCAAAAAUAUGUCCAGCUCUUCUGGGGUCUCCCAUCUUUGCACAGUGAGUCUCUGCAUCCUACUAUUCUUGUCCAACGUGGCCAUUCCUCCAUGUUUGUAUUCUUCAAUGGCAUUACAAAUACAUCUAUAUCCCAUGAAUCCCCAGUACUUCCCCCUCCCCAGACUCUGUCCUUGCCUAGUACCCAACCUCUACCCUCGCCUCAAACCCUGCCCAGAGGUCAGUCCCCACAUCUCACUCAGGUCCAGUCCCAGGCUCAAUAUCAAUCUCCAAUCCCAGCCCUACUACCUAGUCCUCUAUUUCUGUUUAGGUGUGUGGAUUGUGUUUUCAUAGACCCCAGGAUGAGGCACGGUCUCUUAUGCCAUCUGAAAUUAAUCAUCUGGAGUAGAACGUGUUGCAGAAAGUGCAGGAAAGUGUGUGGGGUUUACCCUCUGUGGUUCAAAAAUCCCAGGAAGACUUUUGUCCUCCAGGUACCAAUGCUGUAUUGGUCAGAAAGUCUUUCAAGGUCCAUGUUCCCAUCUCCAUCAUUCCUGGAGAUUUUCCACUCAGCUCUGAGGUAAGGAAGAAACUAGAGCAACACAUUCGAAAGAGGCUCAUCCAGCGCAGAUGGGGCCUGCCCCGCAGAAUCCAUGAGUCUCUGUCAUUGCUACGUCCUCAGAGCAAAAUUUCAGAGCUAUCUGUGUCAGACAGCAUUCAUGGACCGUUAAAUAUCUCUUUGGUUGAGGGUCAGAGGUGCAAUGUUCUAAAGAAGUCCGCAUCAAGCUUCCCUAGAAGCUUCCACGAGAGGAGCUCAAAUAUGCUUUCCAUGGAGAAUGUGGGGAAUUAUCAGGGAUACAGCCAGGAGACUGCCCCAAAAGAUCACCUAUUGCAUGAUCCAGAGACAUCUUCAGACGAGGAUCUGAGGUCUAACUCUGAGAGAGACCUAGAAACUCAUAUGAUGCAUCUGUCAGGGAAUGACUCAGGGGUGAGACUAGGUCAGAAACAACUUGAAAAUGCCCUGACAGUACGUUUGAGCAAGAAAUUUGAGAAAAUCAAUGAGGGUCGAAUGCCUGGGACUGUGCAUAGUUCAUGGCACUCAGUCAAGCAGACAAUGUCUCUUCCUGAGAAAUCCCAAAGCCAAAUUAAACAUCAAAAUCUGGUAGCAUUGGUGAGUGAGGACCACUGCGUUGAUACUUCCCAGGAGAUUUCCUUCCUUAGUUCCAACAAACAAAAGAUGUUGGAAGCCCAUAUUAAAACUUUCCGUAUGAGGAUGCUGUGGGGCCUUCCCUGCAAGGUCCUUGAAUCCAUAGAAAUCUUCAAAUCGGAAGAGGAUAUUUCCAAUUCCUUUUCCCAUUUCUACCUUCCCUCCUCAGCCAGCUUUAUUUCUCAGGGAGAUUCCAAAGAUGGGGUCUCUAAGUCUUGUAGACGAAGCACUUUUCAAGGAGAAAAGUUGGGAACAACAAGCUCAGUCCCUGUCCUUAAUCAUCCUCAGCCUGUCUCCUCACCUAUUGGCAAAGAAGGGCAGGGGACCCUGAGAAGACAAUUUUCUGAUAUUGACCAUGACCUUAUAGAGACAGAUGCCAAAGAUGGUGCCUCCACGCCCCUUAGAAGAGGCACUACAUAUUUUCAAGGAGAAAAAUUAGAAACAACAAGCUCAUUCUCCAUCUUGGGUCAUCCUCACCUCGUCACCUCACCUGUUGAUCAAGAAAAGCAGGGGACCCUCAGAAGAGAAUUCGCUGAUACUGACGAGGAUCUUACAGAAAGUGUCUGGACAACUGAGGAUGGCAGACAGACUUUUCUGCCCCCCACAUACAGCAUCAUAGACGAAGUCAGUCAGAAACAGACUAUACUUGCCAGUAGAUGCAGCGCAGAGCUGCCCAUACUGCAAGCUGGAGUUGGCCGUGAUUCAAGGGAUAAGAGAGAGAGUGCCAGUAAUAAUGUUAACAGGCUUCAGGGCAGUGGAAAGACCUUUCCUGUCACCAAUGGGUCGAAGGAGAUGUUCAAGGAAGAGGAGAUCUGUACUCUUCAAUCACAAACUAGGAACAACUUGACAACCAGCAAGUCAGGAAGCUGCUUAGUGACAAACGUGAAAAGAAGCACUUCUCAUGAAACUGAAAUUUUCCCACCAAGAAUAUCAGUUCCUCAAACUCCUAAAUCAUCAUAUCUUAAAAAUCAGAUGUUGAGCCAGUUAAAGUUGGUCCAGAGGAAGCAUAGCCAACCUCAGAGCCAUUUCACUGGCAUGUCUCUUGCCUUAGAUAACUUGAGUUCCAAGGACUUACUGACUCAUGCCCAGGGCAUCUCGAAUCAGGACUUGGGAACUUCCCAGGUGCUGCAUGUCCACUUGGAGGUCAGAGGAAUCCGUGUGGCACAGCAGCAGGAGCACAGGGUCCCUACGCAUGUCUUACAGAAAUGCCAAGUUAAGAAUUUUUCACCAGCUGCAAAGAGAGUGAGCCCUUUAAGACCCAAUGGAGGAGAGCUUGGUGGAGGGGAUGCAGGGCUGGGGACAUCCCAACUCACUAGAAAGAGCCUCCCUGUUCAUAACAAGGCAUCAGGAGAGGUGCCUGGGAGCAAAUCUUCCCCAACCUUGAAAACACAGCCUCCUUCUGAAAACCUUUUCAGAAAAUGGAUGCAGACCUUAUUGCAGUGGUUUAAUAAACCUAGCAUAAUGUGUGAAGAACAAGAAAGUUCUUGGGAAAAGGGUAGCUCCCUGUCAUCAUCUGUGCAGAAUAGAAGUCGAGUUACAAGUAGAGCUGCUUUUACUGGUGCUACUGAAGCUCAGAAAAUUAGGAAAGACACUGGGGAGUUCCUAGAAGAAAAGCUGGGGCAUAGCCAUGGGAUAGAUAUCACCUGUCCCUAAGAACCCUUUUCCUUCCCAGUGGAGCUUGGGAAAGCUCAGCACAACCCAGAAGUGCAGGUCAGAGCAGAGCCUUUCCAGGGCUAUCCCCGCAACUACACAGCUCCCUCCCGCAAAGUGACAUGUACCAAAUCUUGCAGCCAACAAGCUAUCUUUGUUGGACAGAAUUAUCCUACAAGGAUUAGACAGAUCAUAGACAAGGACAGACAGCCCCAGGAAGUUGAGGCAUUUAAGGGGAAGAUAUUGUAUCAAAGGCAUCCCCAAUCCAUGCCCCACAGGGAUCCUGUACCACAUCUAAACCCCACUUGUCAGCGUCAAGUCACCCUGGUGUGUCCAGCUGUCCCAAUUAGUGGCAAAAGCACUGUGUUCAGUGAUGUGCCUUUACUAACUGGACACAAAAUGCAUUGGAAGUAUUUGCAGGGAGGCAAAUCUCCCCCCACAAAAUAAUUCACUACUUGUUGAGAAUCUUGAUUCUCCCUAAUAAAUGUUCUAAUAAG
ensembl:lncRNA SPATA31D5P SPATA31 subfamily D member 5, pseudogene